AAUAAAAAAGGAUUACAGGCCCCUAGAAGGACACAGCAUCAUCAGCGUGCAAUCCAGCCCAUGGUUUCUUAGAUACCGUAUUGUCUAUUCUGUUCCGCUAUGUGAAAAAUGUUGAAUAUCAACAAUGGGUUUCAGUGCUGCAUUGUUGAGUUUUGUAUGAACUAAUCUAGCUUCACUAAAAAAAAAAUAAAGAAGAAAAAAAAAGAAAAAGAAGGAAAGAAAGAAGAAAUAAAGGGAAAGAAAAAAAAAGACAGCUUUGAACAAAAGUCCACAGCCAGUGUGUUCCAAGUCCCUGCUCAGGGCUGACUGUGGCAGGGGACACUCUCCUGCUGGCUCUCUCUGUCCACACUUAGCUGGCUCCUGUCCUCAGGUGCACGGCCACACCCUUGCACCCAACCUUGAUCCUCUGAUGGGGAAGGUCCCAGGACUUGUCUGCUGGGACAGGCCUCACCCCCAAGAGCUCUGGGCAGUACUGAGAAGCAAACCUGACAGAUUUCUCCAGAACAGUGGCCAUCCAUGGGAUGAGUGAAAGCCUCUUUCUAUUCCAAUUGGCUGCCUCAGUAAACCCAGGAGAGCCAUGGUGACCACAGUAGCUUUCUCUUCCAAAUGACAACUAUCUCAUCUCUUCAGACUAAAUUAACUCCACCCACAGUCAGAAGAAAACUCACAAAAUGGUGGUCAGGAAGACUGAUCUCUAGAACAUUCACGGGACGACAGGAUGAGAGGGAAAAAGGUGUGACAGGGGAUUGCAGAGGCAAAGCUAGACUAGGUCUUGGAGGCUGGUGUAAGGCGGUGCGCGGAAGGCAGGACGCUGAUGGGAGAGACUGGUCGAAGAAAAGCCGAAAUGGAUUCUCCGUGCUUUGGAUGGAGAAAGAGGGGGGAAGUGCGAGCUCCUUCAACUCGUUCUGUCCGGUGAGGAGUGAUCCAGCUUGGGCUGACGAGAGGCUCCGGAGCCUUCACGUUCAGUGCUUUUUACCUGCCAAUCAAACUGCUACAAGACAACACCCUGAUCUGGCAUGGUCGCCGCGGGUCCAAGCCUGUAGUCCCAAAUCGGAAAAUCUCUGCAGCUGGUACACGCAAAAGAGAAGCCAGGCAACAGACAUAUUACAGAAGAAAGCUCUCGACUCCGAGAUCGAACCUAGAAAUUGUACUUUCCUCAAGAUCCGCUUAAGAGAAUCUGGCUGA
rnacentral:lncRNA from 1 species